CCUACGGGUGGCAGCAGUGGGGAAUAUUGGGCAAUGGGCGCAAGCCUGACCCAGCAACGCCGCGUGAAGGAAGAAGGCCCUCGGGUUGUAAACUUCUGUUAUUCGGGACGAAAGAAAUGACGGGAACGAAUGAAUAAGCCACGGCUAACUACGUGCCAGCAGCCGCGGUAAUACGUAGGUGGCAAGCGUUAUCCGGAUUGACGGGGUGUAAAGGGCGGGUAGGCGGGUGAGCAAGUCAGACGUGAAAGUCCAGGGCUCAACCCUGGAACUGCAUUUGAAACUGUUCUUCUUGAGUGAUGUAGAGGCAGGCGGACUUCCUUGUGUAGCGGUGCAAUGCUUAGAUAUACGGCGGAACACCAGUGGCGAAGGCGGCCUGCUGGACUUUAACUGACGCUGAGGCUCGAAAGCGUGGGUAGCAAACAGGAUUAGAUACCCGAGUAGUC
rnacentral:rRNA from 1 species